rnacentral:lncRNA from 1 species
AUACAGCAUUUUUCCCUUGUAUGUAAAGAUCUUGAGGAAAACAUGGUCACCAACAGCCAAUUCCAAUGCUCUCUUUUUAUUGUCAGUAUAACUCUCCUAGUGACUCUGCACAAUAAUAUGGUUCUUACAGAUGACGAAAAUUUUGUCAAUGGUCUCCUAGAAAUAAUAUGUUCUUAGGAGAUGCUUGUUCCUAAUUUCAUUCCAACAGGUAGGGGAUCUGCAGGGUAUACCAUAGAGAACUUCAUAUGGAACCAUACUGAUACUAGAGUAAUAACUAUUAUUGUAAACAAACUUGGCAAGGGGGAGAUGCUGAUCCCAACUACCACCAAAUCUAAUACACAGGCAUGUAACAUGUCCUCUAGCAUCUGAAUGGUUUGUUCAAACUAUCCA